UACGGAGGUUGCGAGCGUUAAUCGGAAUUACUGGGCUUAAAGCGCGCGUAGGCGGCGCGAUAAGCCGGUUGUGAAAGCCCCGGGCUCAACCUGGGAACGGCAUCCGGAACUGUCAGCCUAGAGUGCAGGAGAGGAAGGUAGAACUCCCGGUGUAGCGGUGAAAUGCGUAGAGAUCGGGAGGAAUACCAGUGGCGAAGGCGGCCGUCUGGACUGACACUGACGCUGAGGUGCGAAAGCGUGGGUAGCAAACAGG
rnacentral:misc_RNA from 1 species